rnacentral:rRNA from 1 species
GACGAACGCUGGCGGCGUGCUUAACACAUGCAAGUCGAACGGAAAGGCCCUGCUUUUGUGGGGUGCUCGAGUGGCGAACGGGUGAGUAACACGUGAGUAACCUGCCCUUGACUUUGGGAUAACUUCAGGAAACUGGGGCUAAUACCGGAUAGGAGCUCCUGCUGCAUGGUGGGGGUUGGAAAGUUUCGGCGGUUGGGGAUGGACUCGCGGCUUAUCAGCUUGUUGGUGGGGUAGUGGCUUACCAAGGCUUUGACGGGUAGCCGGCCUGAGAGGGUGACCGGCCACAUUGGGACUGAGAUACGGCCCAGACUCCUGCGGGAGGCAGCAGUGGGGAAUAUUGCACAAUGGGCGGAAGCCUGAUGCAGCAACGCCGCGUGCGUGAUGACGGCCUUCGGGUUGUAAACCGCUUUCGCCUGUGACGAAGCGUGAGUGACGGUAAUGGGUAAAGAAGCACCGGCUAACUACGUG